rnacentral:rRNA from 1 species
CCUACGGGUGGCAGCAGUCGAGAAUCAUUCACAAUGGGGGAAACCCUGAUGGUGCGACGCCGCGUGGGGGAAUGAAGGUCUUCGGAUUGUAAACCCCUGUCAUGUGGGAGCAAAUUAAAAAGAUAGUACCACAAGGGGAAGAGACGGCUAACUCUGUGCCAGCAGCCGCGGUAAUACAGAGGUCUCAAGCGUUGUUCGGAAUCACUGGGCGUAAGGCGUGCGUAGGCUGUUUCGUAAGUCGGGUGUGAAAGGCGCGGGCUCAACCCGCGGACGGCACAUGAUACUGCGAGACUAGAGUAAUGGAGGGGGAACCGGAAUUCUCGGUGUAGCAGUGAAAUGCGUAGAUAUCGAGAGGAACACUCGUGGCGAAGGCGGGUUCCUGGACAUUAACUGACGCUGAGGCACGAAGGCCAGGGGAGCGAAAGGGAUUAGAUACCCUAGUAGUC